UACAGAGGUCUCAAGCGUUGUUCGGAUUCAUUGGGCGUAGAGGGUGCGUAGGCGGCGCGGUAAGUCGGGUGUGAAAUCUUGGAGCUUAACUCCGAAACUGCAUUCGAUACUGCCGUGCUUGAGGACUGGAGAGGAGACUGGAAUUUACGGUGUAGCGGUGAAAUGCGUAGAUAUCGUAAGGAAGACCAGUGGCGAAGGCGGGUCUCUGGACAGUUCCUGACGCUGAGGCACGAAGGUCAGGGGAGCAAACGGG
rnacentral:rRNA from 1 species